GCCUCACUGGUGAAAGGGUCUUCACCCUGGCCAAGAAGAGCAACAUGUCAGUGCAAAGGGGAGACUGCAGGGGGCCCAGGUUGCCGGGAAUCCGUGUUUUUAGGCUGAAGAGCCAAUGAGAGAAACACGUCCCACUACAGAUGCUUCUGGAUUUCUUCAUCUUCAAAGCUACGAAACUUGCACACAGAACAGGCGAACUGAAUCCUGGAAAAGGAAGACGGAAAGAAUGACGACAUAGGAAUAACCAGCUCAUCUCUGGUUGGAACAGAAAUGGAAACAGGAAGCAAUUUCUGUACCAAGACUUCUGACUUUGAGUGGGGCAUCAGAGUAGCAGAUGCCCCAGGUCCCUCCAUCCUGAGAAUGGGGAUGCAAUCUUGAAAGUGUUUUAGGAAAACGAUUCAUGCACCACACCAGCCUUUUUGGCCUAAAGGCCCACAAGAGAACACCCUAAGGUGGAGACUUUCCAAACUGUGGACUCCCUAAAGGCCCCCAGACCACUGCUCUGGGGGGCGUAGUACCUAACUCUGUAACUUCUUUCUGUAGCCACCAAGAUAACACACGGGAGCCUCAUUUUAAUGUGAGGGAGAAUUUCCUGAAGACUUUCCACCAUCUAAAACUCACAAAACUCAAGAUCAAUUUUCUCACGGGACUCAACAUUAAGACCCGUCAUAUCAAA